rnacentral:rRNA from 1 species
GAUGAACGCUGGCGGCGUGCCUAAUACAUGCAAGUCGAGCGAACAGACGAGGAGCUUGCUCCUCUGACGUUAGCGGCGGACGGGUGAGUAACACGUGGAUAACCUACCUAUAAGACUGGGAUAACUUCGGGAAACCGGAGCUAAUACCGGAUAAUAUAUUGAACCGCAUGGUUCAAUAGUGAAAGACGGUUUUGCUGUCACUUAUAGAUGGAUCCGCGCCGCAUUAGCUAGUUGGUAAGGUAACGGCUUACCAAGGCGACGAUGCGUAGCCGACCUGAGAGGGUGAUCGGCCACACUGGAACUGAGACACGGUCAAGACGCCUACGGGAGGCAGCAGUAGGGAAUCUUCCGCAAUGGGCGAAAGCCUGACGGAGCAACGCCGCGUGAGUGAUGAAGGUCUUCGGAUCGUAAAACUCUGUUAUUAGGGAAGAACAAAUGUGUAAGUAACUAUGCACGUCUUGACGGUACCUAAUCAGAAAGCCACGGCUAACUACGUG